AGUGAACGCUGGCGGUAGGCCUAACACAUGCAAGUCGAACGGCAGCACAGUAAGAGCUUGCUCUUACGGGUGGCGAGUGGCGGACGGGUGAGGAAUACAUCGGAAUCUACUUUUUCGUGGGGGAUAACGAAGGGAAACUUACGCUAAUACCGCAUACGACCUACGGGUGAAAGCAGGGGAUCUUCGGACCUUGCGCGACUGAAUGAGCCGAUGUCGGAUUAGCUAGUUGGCGGGGUAAAGGCCCACCAAGGCGACGAUCCGUAGCUGGUCUGAGAGGAAGAUCGGCCACCCUGGACCUGAGACAGGGUCCAGCCCCCUACGGGAGGCAGCAGUGGGGAAGAUUGGACAAGGGGCGCAAGCCUGAACCAGCCAUACCGCGUGGGUGAAGAAGGCCUUCGGGUGGUAAAGCCCUUUUGUUGGGAAAGAAAAGCAGCAGGUUAAAACCCCGCUGUUCGGACGGUACCAAAAGAAUAAGCACCGGCAAACUUCGG
rnacentral:rRNA from 1 species